rfam:Microgenomates (Beckwithbacteria) bacterium GW2011_GWB1_47_15 TX85_C0004, whole genome shotgun sequence.
GUCUAUUUGAAUUAAAGCAGUCGGUGGAUGCCUUGGAUGUAUUAGCCGAAGAAGGACGUGCCAGGCCACGAUAGGCGUCGGGGAGCUGCCAAGAAGCUGUGAUCCGGCGGUGUCCGAAUGGGAAAACCUCCUCAUUAGUAAUAGUGGGGGCCCCGACAGCGCAAGCUUGUCGGGGGGGGAACCCGGGGAACUGCAAUAUCUAAGUACCCGGAGGAAAAGAAAUUAAAUAAGAUGCCGUCAGUAGCGACGAGCGAAAGCGGUCUAGUCCAAACUCCGACAUUACGUCGGAGGGUUGUAGGGCUCCAAUAUGGGACUACGAGAGAUAGUCGAACAACUCGGAAUAGUUGGCCAAAGAAAGUGAAAGCCUUGUAGAUGAAAUUUUGAGUAGCUCUAGGAGAUUCCUGAGUACCACGAGAGACGGCAAACUCUUGUGGGAAGCCGGGGCGACCACGCUCCAAGACUAAAUACUAAUACAUACCGAUAGUGAACAAGUACCGUGAGGGAAAGGUGAAAAGAAGGGUCGAUGACCCAGUGAAAUAGUACCUGAAACCGAUUGCUAACAAACAGUGGGAGGGCCGACGUAAGUCGAGCCUGACCGCGUGCCUAUUGAAGAAUGAGCCGGCGAGUCUUUGCUGGUGGCAAGGUUAAGUCGCUUGAAGCGACGGAGCCAUAGUGAAAGCGAGCCUGAAUAGGGCGAUUAGUUGCCAGCAGAGGACCCGAAGCCGAGCGAUCUAUUCAUGAGCAGGGUGAACCUCGAGUGAUAUCGGGGGGAAGCCCGAACCUGUGUAUGUUGCAAAAUGCUAGGAUGACUUGUGAAUAGAGGUAAUAUGCCAAACGAGCUCGGAGAUAGCUGGUUCUCCCCGAAAUAUAUUUAGGUAUAGCCUUUCCUUAUUUAGGCGCAGGGGUAAAGCACUGGAUGGGCAUUAGGGACUUGUCUCUGAUGCUCAACCAAACUCUGAAUACUGCGUUGAUAACGGAAGGAGUCAGUUGCUGGGGGCUAAGCUCCAGCCGCAAAAGGGAAACAACCCAGAUCUCCAGCUAAGGUCUCUAAAUCACUUGCUUAGUUUGUAAGGAGGUCGUAGUCCUUAGACAGCCAGGAAGUCGGCUUAGAAGCAGCCAUCUUUGAAAGAAAGCGUAACAGCUCACUGGUUGACGGAAGACGGCGCCGAAAAUUUAUCGAGGAUAAAGCAGUGUACCGAAGCUGAGACCCCGACAGCGCAAGCUUGUCGGGGGGUAGGGGAGCGUUCUAAGGGCAGUGAAGGGCCGAUGUAAAUCGCGCCUGGAGCGCUUAGAAGUGAGAAUGCCGGCAUGAGUAGCGGAACUCCGGUGAGAAUCCGGAGGGUCGAAAGUCCGAGGUUUCCUACGCAACGUUCGUCGGCGUAGGGUUAGUCGGGCCUAAGGCAAGCCCCGUGUAGUGCGGGGGUAGUCGAUGGACAACAGGUUAAUAUUCCUGUACCGGUGACCAAUCGUUAUUCCCGACGCAAGUCGGGAUAAACAGCUGGGGUGGGACGGAAUUUGAGAAGUCGAGCGUCUUAUUGAUUUGACGUCUAAAAGGCGAGUCAGUCCCGAUGUGAAAAUCAGUCGGGACGACGGCGAGUCUUGAUGGAGAGUUCUCCUUUGGGAGAGCAAUUCGACCGGCUUAAGUUUCCGAGAAAAGCAUCGCAGCGAGAAGGGUCACCGCCCGUACCGCAAACCGACACAGGUGGACAAGUCGAGUAGACUAAGAUCAGCGGAAGAACGGUGGUUAAGGAACUCGGCAAAUUAGCUGGGAGUAAUUUUGAGAGAUUCCCUGUCCGACGUUACGUCGGACCGCAGCGAAAGAGUGCCAAGCGACUGUUUAACAAAAACACAGGUCUAUGCAAAGGCGCAAGCCUAGGUAUAUGGGCUGAAACCUGCCCAAUGCCGGAAGGUUAAUUGAGAGGGUGACGUCCGACUUCGGUCGUGACCGAGCCUUCGAUCGAAGCCCCGGUGAAUGGCGGCUUUAACUAUAAGAGUCCAAAGGUAGAAUCGCUGCCUUUGUAAAAUUUUGCUAUAUGCUGGAAACUCCGAGAAUCUUGAACUACUGCCUGUUUAUGUGUAAUACUACACAUAAUGGGAAGUAAAAAAGUUACAAGUGCGGACAAUCAGCAGGAAAGGCUAAAAACGAUUGGUUGGAUAGUUGGUUUCACAGAUGGUGAUGGUUGUUUUUGUAUUUCGAUAAACAAAAACCACAGAUUAAAACUUGGUUGGCAAGUGGUUCCUGAGUUUGUAAUAACUCAAGGAGAGAAAAGCCUAGAGAGCUUAAAACUUGUUAAAAAGUUUUUUAAAUGUGGAAGAAUCUUUAUUAAUCGAAGACAUGACAACCAUAAGGAAGACCUUCAUAGAUAUUGCGUGAGAAGUAUAGCUGACUUAGAAGAAAAGAUAAUUCCUUUCUUUGAGAAAAAUCAGUUAAAAACCUACAAAAGAAAAUCAUUUGAGACUUGGAGUAAAGCAGUGAAGUUGAUGAUAAACAAAAGACUUCAUUUAAGUAUGAAAGGGAUUAGAAAGUUAGCAGAAAUGUCAGCGGAGAUAAACCAACAGAAACGACCAAAGUUUUUAGAAUCCUCAGAGACUAUACGCAGAAGUCCCGCUAAGCGGGAUAAGAUAUAGUCCGAUCUCAUAAGCGAUUAUGAGUUAACAUUAUUAAGAGCGAAGUACCUUGUCGGGUAAGUUCCGACGCGCACGAAAGGUGUAACGACUUGGCAACUGUCUUGACCACUGAUCCGGUGAAAUUGAAAUGGCUGUGAAGAUGCGGCCUAUUGACUGCAGGACAAAAAGACCCCGUGGAGCUUUACUAUAACUUGACAUUGGUUUAUUUAAGUUGAUCGUCUAGGAUAGGCGGGACCCCGACUUUAUGUCGGGGGCCAGUGUAAUACCGCUCGUUAACUUGAGUAAAUCUAACUUAUGAUCUCUGGAAACGGGAUUAGGGACAGUGUCUGGGAGGUAGUUUCGCUGGGGAGGUGGUUUGCUAAAAAGUACCGCAAACGCGCAAAGGUACCCUUAGCGCGGAUAGAAAUCGCGCUGAAAGUGUAAAGGCAAAAGGGUGCUUGACUGUGACACUUACAAGUGAAGCAGGAGCGAAAGCUUCGGAUAAAAGCUACCCCGGGGAUAACAGAGUAGUCGCACCCAAGCGUCCACAGCGACGGUGCGGUUCGCUACCUCGAUGUCGGCUCAGGGUAUCCUGGGGGUGUAGAAGCUCCCAAGGGUUGGUCUGUUCGCCCAUUAAAACCCUACGUGAGCUGGGUUCAGAACGUCGCAAGACAGUUCGGUCUCUAUCCGCAGUCAACGUUGGAUUCUUGAGGGAAGCUGACCUCAGUACGAGAGGACCAGGUUGGGCCAGUCCCUAGUGUGCCGGUUGUCGCAUCAGCGGCACUGCCGGGUAGCUACACUGGUUCGGGAUAACCGCUGAAAGCAUCUAAGCGGGAAGCCCAUCCCAAGAUGAGGAAUCCCAUUAAGAUCCCUGGGAGACUACCAGGUGAUAGGCAGCCGGUGUAAGUGCCGUAAGGCAUUUAGCCUAGCUGUACUAAUCGAUCGAUCGAAAAUAGACCA